rnacentral:lncRNA from 1 species
GGAUGAGGCUGAGUGUGUGGAACCUGUGGCGAGGGGUUUCCGGCCAACGAUGGUGGAGUCCCUUGAGAUGGUGGGUGGAUCGCGAAUGGAGGGUUUGGUGAGCGAUGGACUGGCUUGGGGGCCCUCAAUGGCGUGGAGGUGUGGCAUGUGUGGUGGGAGGGGGGAAAGGAGUGAAAUGGAAGCAUUACUGGAAGGGAUGGCCAGUUGGAGGGGAGAUCGGGAGCGGUGGGAGAGGAGGAGCGCGAGGAUUGUGAGCAGGGACGGAGGAGUGGUGCUUUGCGACAUAGAGCACAAUGGGAUAAUGAGGGUUGUUUGGUUUCUGGAAUAUAGGAUUGUCUCCAUAUGAUUGUUAUUGUGAGUUGUAGUAUUGUAUAAAUGACUAGGUUGUCAUGGAUGCGUGAAUCACGAUUCGAGCUUGUUGUGUUUUUAAUUUAAGUUUAAAGUUGUUCUGUUCUAUUU